rnacentral:lncRNA from 1 species
CCUCCUGCGGGCAGACGUCGGGCGCCGGGCACGCGCCGGGCACGCGCUAGGGGCGUGGGGGACACGCACGGGAGGCCUUGCCUGCGCUGAGGCUUUGAAGGAGGAAAAUCGGACCUUCUGACCCCUCAUGGGUCCCGGCAACCCCGGUGGGCAGGACUGGGGUGACUGAAGGCUCUGUCUGUCUGUCUGUCCUCCAUUCCCUCCCUCUAUUUGGAUUGAGAGGCUGUCAAAGUUAUCCCUAAAGCCUAAGAGAUCUGACAAGCAGCAGCCUACAGACACCUUGGCUUGCGUAAGGAGAGGUCUACUUGGCAAUACUGACAACUCCAGUUUCCUAUUCUGUUCAGUCAUCUGAGAACCGGAAAGAAUCUUGUCACUGCUGCUUUCAUUCCUCUGCCGGCUUUUCCAGUUUUUUCCCCCUUUCAAGUUUUAGGUCAGGAGAAAGUUGGAAUGUGUUGCUUCUUGUCACAACAGGCGUUUCAAAAGAUGGGAACUAACCAAAUUAAAGAGUUCUUUGGCCAAAUCAGUCACAGGCUCCCCUGCAUUCCAAGUUAUUUCAUAGUCCCUUUUUUUCUAAUUUUUCCAGUAUGGCCUGGAUCUUACAAACAGCUUCUUUCCUGGCCUGACGGACAGAGUCCUGGCCCCCAGUUUCAACAGAAUCCAGUUCUAAAAGUUCCUUUGUCAGCAUUUCUUCCAGAAGCCAAUACGCUUUGUCUGUCUUUUUUCCUACAAACUCUUCUACUUCUUGCUCAAGAAACUGCACCUUCUCCAGCACAUGUAUGAUCUUUUUAAUACUUGGAGGAGUGCCCUCAUCUGAAGAGAAACACUCUUCUGGGAGAUUAUUACUCGGAACUUGGUUGCUGGGAUGCUCGCUGCUGGCAUUACCAUAUAACUGAGGCUCAGCACUAUACUGGACUUGAGAAUCCAAAAGGUCUGAGUUGUCAUUGUUCACUGCUCCCGGAGAUUCAUACUGAUGGACGCUGCAGGGAAAGCUGUGCCGGCUCAGGCCUUGACCCGAUGGGUUGUAGGAGUACGAGGGGUCCUUGAAAUGGGAAGACAGAAAGGAGACAGAAGCUGUCUUAGUGGGAAGCUAUCAACAUCAGAUAUGUCAGUGUGCAUCGUUUACCAACCAGGAAAGAACUGAAAAGACUUCCACAGAACCAUCAGAGACCAACACUGUUAGACGACAAAGGGAGAGCCCUUUGAAGCAGGAGGCACACAAUUCCUAAAUACGAUGGUUGGAAUCUACCUCAAUGCAAGUCACUCUGUGAACACUUCCCAAUUUUACGACCUCACAAUUCCUCGGUGACUUAAUCAUUAGUUUCCCUUAGACAGUGAAAGCCUUCAGAGCAUAGGCAAAAGCAGAGUGUGUGUCUAUGGCUUAUGUAAAGCCCAGCACCCAAGCCAGCACGUGCUAUUCACAUCGAUUUUCCUCUCGCUGCAUAACAUGAGAUUGUGAAAUACAUCCCUUGAUUCUAUUUAAUAUUCAGAUAGUUCCGGCAGAAAAGAAGCAUUUUCCUGUCUUUUUAAAAAAGAUAUGGUCCUGGAGAGAUGGCUUCUCCUGAGGACCCAAAUUUGAUUCUCAGAAGUUACAAGGCAGCUCAUAACUGUCUGUAACUCCAGUUCCAGGGGAUAAGCCUCCAAGGGCAACAAGCACAUAUGUGGCCCAUAGACAUACAGGCAGCCAGGAUAUCCGUACACAUAAAAAAUAAUGAAAAAUUACAACAACAGAUAAGAACCUUAAAAAAAAUCCCCAAACAAUACUGUCUGUAAGAGAAAAGGAAGCUAACACCAUGCUUAGUAGAAACCACCAACUGUUUUGCAUCUAACAGACUAAUACAGAGAAAGAAGUGUCGUCUUGUGUCCUCUUAAUUGCCUAGAGAUCAAAGGAAUAGCACUCGGAAGGCCUCCUACCUUAGGCUGCUGAGGUGGGGGUGAAGGAGGCGGCUGAGGAGAACUGUUGCCUGGCCACGGUGAAGCACUUUCCGUCAUGUACAGGCUCCCAGCCGAGGGGGCUGAGGGUGCAGCUGAAGGCCAGGGGUAACGGGCUCCCAUCCCAUAAGCGCUGGAAGCCCAGGCAUCGUCUUGUGGUCGUCCAGUCCCUCCUGACUGCGGCACAGCGCGGUUGCCAUCUCCAUAAGGAUAAUGGGGCAAGGUCAUUCCAGGGUUCUAGAUUGGGAAAACAAAUAUGCUGCUAUGCUGGCAGGUCACUGCUUAUACGUAAUGAAAACAGCACAGACAGGUCCUGACCUGCUAGUGACUCAUUAAUCAGUUACCAAAAGUUCUCCACACCUGAGAAAACCUGGCUCCCAAAAUAAAGAACAGAGUUGUUAAAAGA